UUGUUUUUUUCUGUUUUACGGACGAGCGGUGAAAUAUAAACCUCCACUAACUCAUAACCAGGUUAGAGAUCACCCAGAUCUAUCAUCACUAACCCACUCACUGAUUCCUCCGACACUCCUCGUUCUCUCCGUCUUCUGUGAGGUUGGCGUGACUUUGUGGAUCCGUGGAUGAAAGCUCAGAUUAUCAGCGCGGCCAGAUUAAAACACCUGAGGAGAGAAGGAGAGCCGCGAUGUCACUGCUGUUUGGUCAGCAGCAGGGGGCGCUCACCGUGUCAGCACCUUGUUCAAACACACACCCGACUUGUCCGCUGAGCACAAUUACAACCUUUCAGAUGCAUCGCUUAUCGACUCGGGCUGUGACCUCCAAUCACCGCAUGACCUUUGAACUCGCCCGGCGCUGGGAUAUUCCCGUUCGGGGAGGCUUGUUAUUGACUCAGAGUUUUCGUCUGCGUGUGGGUGUUUGUUGUUUUUCUGGCUCGUCUUCAAAUCUCUGCACUUCCUGUCCGACGUCAGCGCCGCCUUCAGCCGGAGCGAGAGAGCGAGAGAGCGAGAGAGCGAGAGGUUAUUGGCUCCAGCGUUCAGCAGCUGAGGAGAACGAGAACAUGAUUCACCUGCAGUGACACCAGGACAAAGGUGUGCGUGUGCACACUUCAACACUUCCUGCUUCACACUCGCUUGUCU